AUUUGAUAGUACCUUACUACAUGGAUACCUGUGGUAAUUCUAGAGCUAAUACAUGCUGAAAACCUCGACUUCGGAAGGGGUGUAUUUAUUAGAUAAAAAACCAAUGCCCUUCGGGGCUCCUUGGUGAAUCAUAAUAACUUAACGAAUCGCAUGGCCUUGCGCCGGCGAUGGUUCAUUCAAAUUUCUGCCCUAUCAACUUUCGAUGGUAGGAUAGUGGCCUACCAUGGUGGCAACGGGUAACGGGGAAUUAGGGUUCGAUUCCGGAGAGGGAGCCUGAGAAACGGCUACCACAUCCAAGGAAGGCAGCAGGCGCGCAAAUUACCCAAUCCCGACACGGGGAGGUAGUGACAAUAAAUACUGAUACGGGGCUCUUUUGGGUCUCGUAAUUGGAAUGAGUACAAUCUAAAUCCCUUAACGAGGAACAAUUGGAGGGCAAGUCUGGUGCCAGCAGCCGCGGUAAUUCCAGCUCCAAUAGCGUAUAUUAAAGUUGUUGCAGUUAAAAAGCUCGUAGUUGAACCUUGGGUCUGGCUGGCCGGUCCGCCUCACCGCGAGUACUGGUCCGGCUGGACCUUUCCUUCUGGGGAAUCUCAUGGCCUUCACUGGCUGUGGGGGGAACCAGGACUUUUACUGUGAAAAAAUUAGAGUGUUCAAAGCAGGCCUUUGCUCGAAUACAUUAGCAUGGAAUAAUAGAAUAGGACGUGCGGUUCUAUUUUGUUGGUUUCUAGGACCGCCGUAAUGAUUAAUAGGGAUAGUCGGGGGCGUCAGUAUUCAGCUGUCAGAGGUGAAAUUCUUGGAUUUGCUGAAGACUAACUACUGCGAAAGCAUUCGCCAAGGAUGUUUUCAUUAAUCAGGGAACGAAAGUUAGGGGAUCGAAGA
rnacentral:rRNA from 1 species